rnacentral:rRNA from 1 species
CCUACGGGCGGCUGCAGUGGGGAAUAUUGCACAAUGGGCGCAAGCCUGAUGCAGCCACGCCGCGUGUGUGAAGAAGGCCUUCGGGUUGUAAAGCACUUUCAGCGGGGAGGAAGGCGUUAAGGUUAAUAACCUUGUCGAUUGACGUUACCCGCAGAAGAAGCACCGGCUAACUCCGUACCAGCAGCCGCGGUAAUACGGAGGGUGCAAGCGUUAAUCGGAAUUACUGGGCGUAAAGCGCACGCAGGCGGUCUGUCAAGUCGGAUGUGAAAUCCCCGGGCUCAACCUGGGAACUGCAUUCGAAACUGGCAGGCUAGAGUCUUGUAGAGGGGGGUAGAAUUCCAGGUGUAGCGGUGAAAUGCGUAGAGAUCUGGAGGAAUACCGGUGGCGAAGGCGGCCCCCUGGACAAAGACUGACGCUCAGGUGCGAAAGCGUGGGGAGCAAACAGGAUUAGAUACCCCGGUAGUC